AAGAAAGUAGAAAAGGGCGCAAGGUGGAUGCCUUGGCUCACGGAGGCGAUGAAGGACGUGAUAAGCUGCGAUAAGCCUCGGGUAGGUGCAAAUAACCCUUGAUCCGAGGAUUUCCGAAUGGGACAACCCGGCCGUCUGAAGGACGGUCACUGUGCAAUAGCAUAGGGCAAACGCAGGGAACUGAAACAUCUUAGUACCUGCAGGAAGAGAAAAUAAGUUAAUGAUUCCCCCAGUAGUGGCGAGCGAACGGGGAAGAGCCCAAACCACAGUUGUGGCAACGCAAUUGUGGGGUUGUAGGACCACGCUGUAGCAAGAUACUUGUGAGAAGAACGUUCUGGAAAGAACGGCCAUAGACGGUGACAGCCCGGUAAUCGAAGCAAGUUGAAGCUUAGUGGUAUCCUGAGUAACGCGGAACACGAGAAAUUCUGCGCGAAUCCGCCGGGACCAUCCGGUAAGGCUAAAUACUCCCGUGAGACCGAUAGCGAACCAGUACCGUGAGGGAAAGGUGAAAAGAACCCCGAGCAGGGGAGUGAAAGAGAUCCUGAACCCUUGCGCCUACAAGCGGUCGGAGCUG
rnacentral:rRNA from 1 species